GACGAACGCUGGCGGCGUGCUUAACACAUGCAAGUCGAACGAAGUGGCGAACGGGUGAGUAACGCGUAAUCAACCUGCCCUUCAGUGGGGGACAACAGUGGGAAACGACUGCUAAUACCGCAUACUGACUGACGGGUUUGCGUCUGAUUAGCUAGUUGGCGGGGUAACGGCCGACCAAGGCGCUGAUCGGUAGCCGGUCGGAGAGGAUGAGCGGCCGAAUUGGGGCUGAGACACGGCCCAGAAUCCUACGGGGGGCAGCAGUGGGGAAUCUUCGGAAAUGGAGGAAAGUCUGACGGAGCAACGCCGCGGGAGUGGUGGAGGCCUUCGGGUUGUAAAAGUCUGUUAAUCGGGACGCGGUACCGGAAUAGAAAGCCACGGCUAACUACGUGCCAGCAGCCGCGGUAAUAC
rnacentral:rRNA from 1 species